rnacentral:lncRNA from 1 species
UACAAAAUGAAGCAGACUCGUGAAACAGCCCUACCAUUAAUGUCAGAAGAAUGAGAGAAGGAGCGUAUCACUGCAUUCAAAUCUCCCCCUUUGCACGGCGCUGCACCUAGCGUUUUACCUUUCUACCACAGAAAAGGUGAAAGAAAGAGAAGAAACAGAUGAAGAAUUCUUCAGGAGAAAUGUCAUGGAGAAAUAUGGCACUGUGGUCUUGGGUCAGAGGGCGUGGGAACUUCUCUAUAGCUACUUUCAACUGAUGACAGCUAUUGAGACAAACCAGCAGCAAUUCCUCUCUCAAGCAACGACCACUGACAAGAUUUUGGACACUUUCUUUGAGACCACUGAAGAGGAAGAACCUAUGCACUGACUAUCAGAGAGCCCCUUCCGUGAUGAUCACAGGCUGUGUUUGCUCCUUCACCAGGCCGCUGCACUUACGGGGCUGACAGAGCUUAACCAUUUGAAUAAUCGCCAACUUGUCUUUAAAUUAUGUGUCUUUAUUAAAUAACUGGCGUCGUGC